AAUCAACGCUGGCGGCGUGCCUAACACAUGCAAGUCGAACGCGAGAGGGGCUUCGGCCCCGAUUGAGUGGCGAACGGGUGAGUAACGCGUGGGUGACCUACCUUCGAGUGGGGGAUAACGUCCCGAAAGGGACGCUAAUACCGCAUAACAUCCUGCUUUUGAAUGGGUGGAGAUCAAAGCCGGGGAUCGCAAGACCUGGCGCUCGAUGAGGGGCCCGCGUCUGAUUAGCUAGNGGUGAGGUAACGGCCCACCAAGGCAACGAUCAGUAUCCGGCCUGAGAGGGCGGACGGACACACUGGGACUGAGACACGGCCCAGACUCCUACGGGAGCAGCAGUGGGGAAUUGUUCGCAAUGGGCGCAAGCCUGACGACGCAACGCCGCGUGGAGGAUGAAGGUCUUCGGAUUGUAAACUCCUGUUGCCCGGGACGAAUGGCUCCGACCUAACACGUCGGAGUGU
rnacentral:rRNA from 1 species